UACGUAGGGUGCAAGCGUUGUCCGGAAUUAUUGGGCGUAAAGAGCUCGUAGGCGGUCUGUCGCGUCGGCUGUGAAAACCCGAGGCUCAACCUCGGGCCUGCAGUCGAUACGGGCAGACUAGAGUGCUGUAGGGGAGACUGGAAUUCCUGGUGUAGCGGUGAAAUGCGCAGAUAUCAGGAGGAACACCGGUGGCGAAGGCGGGUCUCUGGGCCGAUACUGACGCUGAGGAGCGAAAGCAUGGGUAGCGAACAGG
rnacentral:rRNA from 1 species